rnacentral:rRNA from 1 species
GACGAACGCUGGCGGCGUGCUUAACACAUGCAAGUCGAACGGUAAGGCCCUUCGGGGUACACGAGUGGCGAACGGGUGAGUAACACGUGGGUGAUCUGCCCUGCACUUUGGGAUAAGCCUGGGAAACUGGGUCUAAUACCGAAUAGGACUCCGGACUGCAUGGUCUGGGGUGGAAAGCUUUUGCGGUGUGGGAUGGGCCCGCGGCCUAUCAGCUUGUUGGUGGGGUGAUGGCCUACCAAGGCGACGACGGGUAGCCGGCCUGAGAGGGUGACCGGCCACACUGGGACUGAGAUACGGCCCAGACUCCUACGGGAGGCAGCAGUGGGGAAUAUUGCACAAUGGGCGCAAGCCUGAUGCAGCGACGCCGCGUGAGGGAUGACGGCCUCGGUUGUAACCGUACUUUCUAGCUACGACGAAGACGCAAGUGACGGUAGUAGCAGAAGAAGGACCGGCCGAACUACGUGCCAGCAGCCGCGGUAACUGUAGUCGU